GGGGUCGUAGCUCAGUUGGGAGAGCGCGUCGUUCGCAAUGACGAGGUCAGGGGUUCGAUUCCCCUCGGCUCCACCA
rnacentral:tRNA from 8 species